rnacentral:rRNA from 1 species
AUCUACAGCCAUGCCACCCUGAACAAGCCCAAUCCUGUCUGAUCUUGGAAGCUAAGCAGGGUUGGGCCUGGUUAGUACUGGGAUGGGAGACCACGUAGGAAGACCAGGUGCUGUAGGUA